rnacentral:rRNA from 1 species
UGCAGUCGAGCGCCCCGCAGGGGGAGCGGCAGACGGGUGAGUAACGCGUGGGAAUCUACCCAUCACUACGGAACAACUCCGGGAAACUGGAGCUAAUACCGUAUACGUCCUUCGGGAGAAAGAUUUAUCGGUGAUGGAUGAGCCCGCGUUGGAUUAGCUAGUUGGUGGGGUAAUGGCCUACCAAGGCGACGAUCCAUAGCUGGUCUGAGAGGAUGAUCAGCCACACUGGGACUGAGACACGGCCCAGGCUCCUACGGGAGGCAGCAGUGGGGAAUAUUGGACAAUGGGCGCAAGCCUGAUCCAGCCAUGCCGCGUGAGUGAUGAAGGCCCUAGGGUUGUAAAGCUCUUUCAACGGUGAAGAUAAUGACGGUAACCGUAGAAGAAGCCCCGGCUAACUUCGUGCCAGCAGCC